UUUCUCAGUUCUCGUCAGCGGGUUCAGCUUGCAACAUUCAUGUCGUUGUGUGCUCUCAUAACACCUUCUCGAAAGAUACCUCAGUGUUCUAAUGAACAUUCUAGAAAGUGUAAGAUUAAGAGGUGAAUAAAACCAGACUUUAAUUUCAAAGUGUAUCAAUGGAUAGAAUUAUAUCGAACGACAUUAUUCUCUUCAAAGUAGUGAGAUUACACAAGAUGAUUCUCUGGAAAUAUCUAUCGUGUUUGGAAAGAGAAGACCACCCCAGAAAUCUCCUGCGUUGAUAUCUCUCUGUCGAGGUAUUCUCAAUAGGUGCCUUUGUUGGACAAGUUGGACUGUGUCCUCACUCGCGAUGUGCCAAACAGCGGCUGGGAUUGCUCUGUUCCUCCAGGGCUACAGGACAGCUUGGUCCGAGGGUAGGGAAACAAAAUCGGCAGAAAUUUGUUCUAGACUUUUACAUGAAGAGAUGCAUUUCCAUCCAAUAA